CAUGCAAGUCGAACGGAAAGGCCCUUCGGGGUACUCGAGUGGCGAACGGGUGAGUAACACGUGGGUGAUCUGCCCUGCACUUUGGGAUAAGCCUGGGAAACUGGGUCUAAUACCGGAUAUGAUCAUCGGCUUCAUGGUCGGUGGUGGAAAGCUUUUGCGGUGUGGGAUGGGCCCGCGGCCUAUCAGCUUGUUGGUGGGGUAAUGGCCUACCAAGGCGACGACGGGUAGCCGGCCUGAGAGGGUGUCCGGCCACACUGGGACUGAGAUACGGCCCAGACUCCUACGGGAGGCAGCAGUGGGGAAUAUUGCACAAUGGGCGCAAGCCUGAUGCAGCGACGCCGCGUGAGGGAUGACGGCCUUCGGGUUGUAAACCUCUUUCAGUAGGGACGAAGCGCAAGUGACGGUACCUAUAGAAGAAGGACCGGCCAACUACGUGCCAGCAGCCGCGGUAAUACGUAGGGUCCGAGCGUUGUCCGGAAUUACUGGGCGUAAAGAGCUCGUAGGUGGUUUGUCGCGUUGUUCGUGAAAACUCAC
rnacentral:rRNA from 1 species